GUGAUAUAACAGGAAUAUUUAUACAUAUUUUAACAAAUAUACACAGCAAUAAAUUUCCAUUUUUAAAAAAGUAACUUUUCAGCAAAUUAUAAUCAGAUGUGUAUCUUUCGUAGGUCUUAGAAAAAAUAGAAUAUUCUAAUUGCUUGGUCAAUGCUUAGCAGGGAAAUUUCAAAUAUUUUAGAUUUGCUGUUAAUGGUUCUUUAAAAAUAAACAAAACUACCAAACAAAAUAACCCCUUGGAAUGGUAGAGAAAUACUGUACUGCCAGAUUCAUAUAAACAGAGGGGGAGUAGUCAAGGAUGGCACAACUGUUGACUUAAUUGUACACAAUUAAAGUUUGUGUUUUUUUUUUAAAUAUAUAUCUUUCAAGUAAAUUCAGACAAUAAAACAAAGAAAAAUAUUGUAAAUACAUUAGAACAAAUGCCAGUAAGAAAAAAAAAAAAAUCCUUAGCAGGAGGAGGUUUGAUCAAUUAGAACAGGAAAAUAAAAUAAAAAGUGCAGUCUCCCCUACCCAAAACAAAUAUAAAUACAAAGUCACAAAAUAAACUUCAAUAUUUUUCACAAAUACUAUUUCCCUCUGUAGAAUAUUGUUUGGGAUUAAGACUUGACAGCAAGAUAAUAGUAAAAUUAGAAUUUAGGGUGAAUGGCUAAUACUACAAAGAUUAUAAAUAAGAAUUCAGUUACAAAAAAAAAAAAAAAAAAAAAAAAAAAAAAAAAAAAAAAAAAAAAGGGGCAAAUGCAAAUUUACCAUCAACUUUUUCAUAGUGUAAAUAAAAUAGAGUGGGCACAAACAUAUGUAGACUAUGAAAUAUCACUCACAUAUCUUAUUUGACCAUUCAUGAAUUGUUAAUUUUGGUCCAUGGAAGGAGUGUACGGUUUCCCCCCCAGUAGGAUAGUUCAGUACAAUGUUAGACCCAAUCACAAAAGGAUAACUGAAAUAUCAAUCAAUAAUAUACCCAGUGUGCAACACAUCUACCCCAUCAGAAAAACUUGUGUAAGUUAGGGAACAGUCCACAAAGUUCACUGACAGGUGCCAACUGUCUCAGAAUCUGUGCAUUACUUAUUUUAAAUAUUGCUGUAAGUAAAGCACCAGUUACACUUUCAAAUGAAACAGACUCUUGACUCUCUAAAAUCUCAAAAGAACAAAAUAAACACAAAGUUCAAACAGCUCAUAGAUAUAUUUGAAUGAAAAAAAUUCAUAAAGAUUUCUUAUUUUCGUACAGGAAUUGUGCUUUAAUAUUUAAGGAAUCAAAAAAGGCAAGUCGAUUGUUCACUUUUGCAGGACCUUUCACUCAUCUAUAAAAAAUAACUCACUGCACCUCUUUGCUUCCAAAUGGGCCUGGCACAGCUUGCAAAAUAGCUGUGCUAAAACACAAACAAAUAACUGUUGAUCUAUUUGAUAUCUUGCAGGUCCGCAAGGAAGUAAAGCGGUUAAUAUGCUCAAAUGACCUUUUAUUACAAAGAUAUUUUUCUCUGGGUGGGAAAAACAAAAACAAUAAAUAUAUAUUUUACAUGGGUAAAAGUUAAGUGGUACACAUUGUAUCACAUGCAUGCAGAAAAAAAUAAAAUAUACACUGCAGAAUUCUGAAAAUAUUACAGAAAUAGAUAUCUAGGUUUAGGAGAAUUUAUACAUAUUUACAAAAUAAAUCUCUGCAAAUUAUUGCCUCAUAAGAAUUAGAGGUAAAUAUUCUAUGCUAGCUUACUCACAGUUUUGAACCAUCAAUAACCUAACAGCCACCCAACUCCUUGCUGGGACAGCUAGUCACUGGCUGCUCUGGCAGAAAGGUAACUCUAUUUAACAUUAGAUGGGCCUACAACACAUGUAAAAGAUUUGAAGGCCACACUGGCAGGUUUAAAAAUAUUAAACUAAAAAAAAUUAUAUAUAUUUAUAUUUUCCGUUUAGGCCUCCAAAACACAGCCUGUUCGCUAGGUCCUUUUUUCCUAUCAAACCUGAAAAAAACACUUGUUGAUUUUGGUCAAAAAACAAAAUGUGUUGCUUUUUUCGUUAAAUGACUAAAGUGUCUGUACAUCUUGCUGACAAUCAAAACUAUUGACAAGAAACUUGAGUGAGUCUCCUUGUUUAUAUUGAGAGUCCAGCAAUGCAUAGAUAGAUUUACCAAAUAUUACUGCAUUAGCUAUGAAGAAUGGUCAUGGUUCAUUUAAGUGCAACUGGUAUAAGCAGUCAUCCUUAUGAAAUGAUUUUAUACAGUCGUAAACUCAUUAUUGGACGACAAAAAAAAAAAAAAAAAACCACCACACACAAACAAGCAAGCAGAGGGGAACGCCCAUCAAAAAUUUAUAAAAAUCGGAAGCCAACUUGAUAAGAAAUGUAAUUGAAAGCAUAGGGACUGCAAUGCAAAUUAUACAUAUUACAGAUGAAAAAGGCAAUUCAUAUCAGUUUAUGUAAUUGGGAUAGGUCAUUGAUUUCAUAUAAAUAUACCUUACCCAUAACAUCUGUGACUGUAAACAUAUGAUUCAAUGUUCUUGUGUAUAAUUAAAAAAAAAUAAACACACACCACAGCCACCUGAAACUGAUAUUAUUGUAGUUCACAGUAAGCCUAAUAAAUACCCUCCCUUCUGUAUUCUACCAGUGGUCUAUUCUCUCUGCAUUGCCCCAGCACACAUGAACACUUCUAAAACGGGUGAAACGUGGAUGCAGAAGAUAUGUAUUAUUUUACAUAGAUGGAAAUAAGAUAGUAUUGAAUAUACAUUUACCCAUCAAUGUGGCAGCUUCUUUCAAUUUAUAAAAUAAAAAUAAAACAAAAUACGAGCUAUAUAACCUCAAAGCCAGGUAAGGCUAUGGAAAGAAGAAUCAAAUGGUUAACCAUUCACUAAUAGAUGGUAAGCUAAAUGCAAAGCGAAGAACAUGAGAGACUCUUUGGCAGAGGAAGCACAUGGCGGUAUGUGCUUAGUUUUCCAUUCAAACGUUUAAAUCUGUAAUAUGUUUGCAAAAUGAGCACACAGAUUUACCUCUUGGCCAUUAUGAGAGGUCAUUGUAUUGGACAGUUAUGGCGGUAAGGAUGAGGAGGCCAGAUAUUAAACUUCUAGAUCACCACACAAGAUUCUGGAUUUCAUAGUACAUUUUUCAUGGCUCUAUGUUUUAUGCAAAGUCGGGAAAACUUUACAGUACCAAAUUACAAGGAAACAAAAUAAAGUUUGUUAAUCUGCAAUGACAUCAGAUAUACCUAGGAUGGAUAUGCUCAUGUAAACUUAGUGGUACAAAUAGGUUUGCCGACUGUGCUUAUGGACAAUGUCAGCUGCCCCAGGUAAGUUUAAGAUACACAGAUCAAUGUGUAAUUUAUUUUACAAUCUUCAAAUAGGUGAAGAAAAAAAAAAUAAAAAAAAAUAAUAAGUUUUGCCCAUUUUGCUAAAAUUACACAGAUCCAGUCUGGCAGUAUUACAACAAUUGCAUCAAAUAGCUCAUCCAGGUAACUGUGCUAGAAAUCCAACAACGUGGUUCCUGUCGAAGAGAUGUAAUGUCUCAUUGGGAGAUUCUUUAGCAGUGAUCUUGCUAUAAACGGAGGUGCUAUUUUGUAUCUUGUAAAAGAUGAUUCUGUUUAAAAUACAAAACCACAACCCAAACAGAAAUUAUGUUUGUGCAGUUCGAAUUCUGAAUGUCCAAACCCUGCCAUAAAUUUUAAAUAAAAA